UACGUAGGGUGCGAGCGUUAAUCGGAAUUACUGGGCGUAAAGCGUGCGCAGGCGGCGCGUUAAGACAGGUGUGAAAGCCCCGAGCUUAACCUGGGAACUGCAUUUGUGACUGCAUGGCUAGAGUUUGGCAGAGGGGGUAGAAUUCCACGUGUAGCAGUGAAAUGCGUAGAUAUGUGGAGGAACACCGAUGGCGAAGGCAGCCCCCUGGGUCAAGACUGACGCUCAUGCACGAAAGCGUGGGGAGCAAACAGG
rnacentral:rRNA from 1 species